CUCAAGAUCCAAUUCAUUCCUCUUCGCCUCAGAUGAGAUGAGGGUUAGCUAAUCUAAUGAUGGUAGUAACCGGCGAUUGUGGCACCACCCGAGUUCUUUGAGUCCUAAAAAGAGAAAGAGGACGCUUACAGAAACCAUUUUGAUCCAAACUGGUCGUGAACUCAAGAAAGAAAGGAAGGAACGGCAGCAAAGAGACCAUAGAAUUUGACUGCUCUGCUACCCUUGGGCUAAUUGCAAAGGGGGAUUCUCGAUCAGAUGAGCAGACAGGGCAAGCACUUACUACCAUGAGAGUGGACCUCAGAGCGAUUGAUUCCCAGUGCUUGAAUAAACGGACUUUUCUCCUUCCUUUCAUUUGAAUGUGGCACUUCAUCCGCAAGAAGCCUUGGAAGAACUAGAAGCAAGAGAGAACUA
rnacentral:lncRNA from 1 species